UGUGAAAUGUUUCAUGAAUUCUGUGACUCCCCAGAUGCAUUUUAAUCAUUGUCACAAAGUGUCACACAUGCUCAAGUGUAGUCCACAUACCGAAUGUUACAUAAAUAGAAGCACGUAUACACAGCUUCAUGCUAAACUGCUCGCUCACCCACACUCAUAUUUCACACAGAGGUGGUAUUUUGGUAGUGCAUCAGAGUGCAUUACUUGCCUGUUUUGUCUAGAAUAAAUUAUUGUAAGUACAGGUAGUCUGUAGCAACGCCAGACAAAAAAAAAAAAAAAAAAAAAAAUGUUAAUUUCACUGCAAUGUAACAGUUGCACCAUCUGUCAUUGUUAAGUAAAAUCGCAGGAAGACACGUUAUGCACUACAUUUCACAAUUAUAGCGACAAGUACCACCACCAUUAUGUUUCUGAAAAAUAUAAAUUUUUGUCUGAUGUUGUGAUUGAUCACACACAGUUGUAUGCUUUGGGCUAAGCCAGGCAGGUAAUGCACCCCACCGUGGUUACGAGCAGAAAACAGCACCAAUCGACAGGACAAAGAGAAGGACAUAGACCACAGCGCUGACUAACAACCAAGUGUCUUUAUUCUUUCAGUCAGUAUAUAUAUAAUCUACCACUAUCGCGAAGAACAAAAAAGGAACAAAAAUUCAGCAUGCGCAGGGGCAAUAAAUUAUAAUCAAUGAGAUAUGAAAGCUGUCUCCUUUGGAAGGAAGGAUGCCGUGAAAUGGACGAGAAGGCUUACACAUGCGUUGCCGCUAUUAUGGAUGUGAAAGGUUUCAGAAAUGAGACGUAUACGGUCAUCGUGGUAUUCUCUUCGUCCUGUCGUUGAGCGCUGUUUUCUGCUCGUAAUCAUGAGCCAACCAGCCCAAAUGCGUACCCUUCCAACAUGGUAUUACACUGUGUGCAAUGCUAAAAUGCCAGCUAUUUAGUUGGAAGAAUCAUGAGCACUACCAGGCACUCGUAUAUGUGUGUCAUUCAGUACAAGCAGUUGCUUAGGCUUAAGGAAGGAAGGCAUGUGUACUAGUUUCAUUUUAGUUUUAUAAACAUCAAACUAUAGUCUGCAACAAGUCAGGAAUGCAAGGGAAGGCGAGUUGAAAAGAGGGGACUUGAGGGACAAGUGGAAGCACAAGUAGGAGAAAGACAAUAGUGCACACACACGCAUGCACAACCCACUAUGGUGACUUUUGCUGCAUAGUUACAGGGAAAAGAAAGUGUGAAAAAGAAAAGGGGUAUUUAGUUUUGUGUUGCUAAUUAUGGCCAGCUAGGGGUAUUAAAGGGCCUGUCUACUACUAAGAACACGCCUUUGGACUGUGGUGGAAAUGAGAAGAUAUUGUGUCAUAUUGAUGGAAAUGAGCUUGCUUGUACCCCAUAAACAGAAAUAUAUUUAACAUCUUUUUCUUUUUUCUCUGAAAGUUGUGCAAGAAUUACAUGUGGCAACGUUCAACAGUGAAACAGUGCAAUCAAUCCGUAUACCCUCACGCAACCAAAAAAGCCAUGCAGGCGUAGCACAAACGGGCAGGAGAAGCAAAACCACAGGAGAAGCAAAAGCAAAAGGCAGGAAACAGGAAGAAAAAAAAAGCCACGAAUCUCCACCAGUGGGGAGUGACACCUCCACAAGCUAAAGAUGAAUAAAGUUUUUUUUUUUUUUUU